CAGUAGCCGCGGGAAUACAGAGGGUGCGAGCGUUAAUCGGAUUUACUGGGCGUAAAGCGUGCGUAGGCGGCUUUUUAAGUCGGAUGUGAAAUCCCUGAGCUUAACUUAGGAAUUGCAUUCGAUACUGGGAAGCUAGAGUAUGGGAGAGGAUGGUAGAAUUCCAGGUGUAGCGGUGAAAUGCGUAGAGAUCUGGAGGAAUACCGAUGGCGAAGGCAGCCAUCUGGCCUAAUACUGACGCUGAGGUACGAAAGCAUGGGGAGCAAACAGGAUUAGAUACCCCCGUAGUCCCUGUAUCUUAUAC
rnacentral:rRNA from 1 species